GACGAACGCUGGCGGCGUGCUUAACACAUGCAACUCGAACGGAAAGGCCCUGCUUUUGUGGGGUGCUCGAGUGGCGAACGGGUGAGUAACACGUGAGUAACCUGCCCUUGACUUUGGGAUAACUUCAGGAAACUGGGGCUAAUACCGGAUAGGAGCCCCUGCUGCAUGGUGGGGGUUGGAAAGUUUCGGCGGUUGGGGAUGGACUCGCGGCUUAUCAGCUUGUUGGUGGGGUAGUGGCUUACCAAGGCUUUGACGGGUAGCCGGCCUGAGAGGGUGACCGGCCACAUUGGGACUGAGAUACGGCCCAGACUCCUACGGGAGGCAGCAGUGGGGAAUAUUGCACAAUGGGCGGAAGCCUGAUGCAGCAACGCCGCGUGCGGGAUGACGGCCUUCGGGUUGUAAACCGCUUUCGCCUGUGACGAAGCGUGAGUGACGGUAAUGGGUAAAGAAGCACCGGCUAACUACGUG
rnacentral:rRNA from 1 species